UCACUGAUAGUCCAGUGGUAGGACUCUGUACUCCCAAUGCAGGGAGCCCAGGUUUGCUCCCUGGUGAGGGAA
rnacentral:tRNA from 1 species